rnacentral:rRNA from 1 species
UACGUAGGGGGCAAGCGUUGUCCGGAUUUACUGGGCGUAAAGAGCGCGUAGGCGGAAGCUUAAGUGUGGCCUGAAAGCCCCCGGCUCAACCGGGGAAGGUGGCUGCAAACUGGGCUUCUUGAGGGGGAUAGGGGAAAGUGGAAUUCCGGGUGUAGCGGUGAAAUGCGUAGAUAUCGAGAGGAACACCUGCGGCGAAGGCGGGUUGCUGGGCUGACACUGACGCUGAUGCGCGAAAGCCAGGGGAGCGAACGGG